UACGGGGGGGGCAAGCGUUGUUCGGAAUUACUGGGCGUAAAGGGCUCGUAGGUGGCCAACUAAGUCAGACGUGAAAUCCCUCGGCUUAACCGGGGAACUGCGUCUGAUACUGGAUGGCUUGAGUUUGGGAGAGGGACGCGGAAUUCCAGGUGUAGCGGUGAAAUGCGUAGAUAUCGGGAGGAACACCUGUGGCGAAGGCGGCCCCCUGGUUGGAUACUGACGCUGAGACGCGAAAGCGUGGGGAGCAAACAGG
rnacentral:rRNA from 1 species